UACAGAGGUCUCAAGCGUUGUUCGGAUUCAUUGGGCGUAAAGGGCGCGUAGGUGGCGAGGUAAGUCCGGUGUGAAAUCCCAGGGCUCAACCCUGGAACUGCCUUUGAUACUGGAUGUCUGGAGUUCGGGAGAGGUGAGUGGAAUUCCGAGUGUAGAGGUGAAAUUCGUAGAUAUUCGGAGGAACACCAGAAGCGAAGGCGGCUCGCUGGCCCGAUACUGACGCUGAGGCGCGAAAGCGUGGGGAGCAAACAGG
rnacentral:rRNA from 1 species